rnacentral:rRNA from 1 species
GACGAACGCUGGCGGCGUGCCUAAUACAUGCAAGUCGAGCGAGACCUUCGGGUCUAGCGGCGGACGGGUGAGUAACGCGUGGGAACGUGCCCUUCUCUACGGAAUAGCCCCGGGAAACUGGGAGUAAUACCGUAUACGCCCUUUGGGGGAAAGAUUUAUCGGAGAAGGAUCGGCCCGCGUUGGAUUAGGUAGUUGGUGGGGUAAUGGCCCACCAAGCCGACGAUCCAUAGCUGGUUUGAGAGGAUGAUCAGCCACACUGGGACUGAGACACGGCCCAGACUCCUACGGGAGGCAGCAGUGGGGAAUCUUAGACAAUGGGGGCAACCCUGAUCUAGCCAUGCCGCGUGAGUGAUGAAGGCCUUAGGGUUGUAAAGCUCUUUCAGCUGGGAAGAUAAUGACGGUACCAGCAGAAGAAGCCCCGGCUAACUCCGUGCCAGCCGCCGCCGUAAGAC